rnacentral:rRNA from 1 species
GCAUGCUAGUCGCACGAGUUCAGACUCGUGGCGGAUAGCUCAGUAACACGUGGUCAAACUACCCUAUAGACCAGAAUAACCUCGGGAAACUGAGGCUAAUACUGGAUAAGGCUCCUAUGCUGGAAUGCAAGGAGCUGGAAACGUUCCGGCGCUAUAGGAUGUGGCUGCGGCCGAUUAGGUAGACGGUGGGGUAACGGCCCACCGUGCCGAUAAUCGGUACGGGUUGUGAGAGCAAGAGCCCGGAGAUGGAUUCUGAGACAAGAAUCCAGGCCCUACGGGGCGCAGCAGGCGCGAAAACUUUACACUGCACGACAGUGCGAUAAGGGAACUCCGAGUGCGAGGGCAUAUAGUCCUCGCUUUUGUGUAUCGUAAGGUGGUACACGAAUAAGAGCUGGGCAAGACCGGUGCCAGCCGCCGCGGUAAUACCGGCAGCUCAAGUGAUGGCCGCUUUUAUUGGGCCUAAAGCGUCCGUAGCCGGCCGAACAGGUCCGUCGGGAAAUCUGCUCGCUCAACGAGCAGGCGUCCGGCGGAAACCAGUCGGCUUGGGGCCGGAAGGCUCGAGGGGUACGUCUGGGGUAGGAGUGAAAUCCUGUAAUCCUGGACGGACCACCGGUGGCGAAAGCGCCUCGAGAGGACGGACCCGACGGUGAGGGACGAAAGCUAGGGUCACGAACCGGAUUAGAUACCCGGGUAGUCCUAGCUGUAAACGAUGCUCGCUAGGUGUGGCACAGGCUACGAGCCUGUGCUGUGCCGUAGGGAAGCCGAGAAGCGAGCCGCCUGGGAAGUACGUCCGCAAGGAUGAAACUUAA